ACGAACGCUGGCGGCGUGCUUAACACAUGCCAGUCGAACGGAAAGGCCCUGCUUUUGUGGGGUGCUCGAGUGGCGAACGGGUGAGUAACACGUGAGUAACCUGCCCUUGACUUUGGGAUAACUUCAGGAAACUGGGGCUAAUACCGGAUAGGAGCUCCUGCUGCAUGGUGGGGGUUGGAAAGUUUCGGCGGUUGGGGAUGGACUCGCGGCUUAUCAGCUUGUUGGUGGGGUAGUGGCUUACCAAGGCUUUGACGGGUAGCCGGCCUGAGAGGGUGACCGGCCACAUUGGGACUGAGAGACGGCCCAGACUCCUACGGGAGGCAGCAGUGGGGAAUAUUGCACAAUGGGCGGAAGCCUGAUGCAGAAACGCCGCGUGCGGGAUGACGGCCUUCGGGUUGUAAACCGCUUUCGCCUGUGACGAAGCGUGAGUGACGGUAAUGGGUAAAGAAGCACCGGCUAACUACGUG
rnacentral:rRNA from 1 species